GGGGCCGUGGCGAAGCUGGGAUCGCGUCUCAAUGGCAUUGAGAAGGCCGAGGGUUCGAGUCCCUCCGGCUCCA
rnacentral:tRNA from 1 species